GUCACUUUAAACAUCUGGUUAGAGGAUGUAGUGGUCGCUACUUGAGAUACUACUACGACUCCACUAAUGAAAAUGCAAAAGAUUCAUUUGGACUGGCUGCUUUGGGAAUGGAAACCGAUUCUUUGACUACAACAGUUGCAACGCCACCUGUGCUGGCAUCCAUGAUGACUUGGAUGCAACUGAGGAGGAUGAGCCAGACACUCCUAUUGCCAUCAUCUGUGGAGUUCUUCUUGCCCUUGUCGUCUUAAUAACUGUGAUUGUCUGAAGGCUGGUACGGCUGGAUAAAACUGUAUUUGGCAUUUUACAACAUUUUCUAGUAAUUUCUUUCCAC